rnacentral:rRNA from 1 species
UACGAAGGGGGCUAGCGUUGCUCGGAAUCACUGGGCGUAAAGCGCACGUAGGCGGAUUGUUAAGUCAGGGGUGAAAUCCUGGAGCUCAACUCCAGAACUGCCUUUGAUACUGGCGAUCUCGAGUCCGGGAGAGGUGAGUGGAACUCCGAGUGUAGAGGUGAAAUUCGUAGAUAUUCGGAAGAACACCAGUGGCGAAGGCGGCUCACUGGCCCGGUACUGACGCUGAGGUGCGAAAGCGUGGGGAGCAAACGGG